AUUCCUGUAACGCAAUGUGGGUAGGUGCGUUGGACUUCUAAUCCAAAGGUCGUGGAUUCGAAUCCCACCUGGAAGG